rnacentral:lncRNA from 1 species
UGAAAUGCAGGAAUAACAACCUGGACAGAGAAGCACACAUAUCUACACACAAGAUUUUCAUUCCAACAAUUGGUCCUAAAAGGCUCCAAUACAUUUCUAAGUAAAGGUCCAUUAAAUUAAGCCACAAGUUGUUCGACACUUUCAUAGUUUAACUUUGUUCCAAUCAGCAUUAUGAUAUUCAUUCAAAAUACUGAGAGACAAGAGGUGAUUGUGAGAGAUAACCAAAACAUGUGACUCUACAAAAUUACAAAUGUUCAUGAGGACUCAGACUGUGGAAUUGAACAUUAACAUAGAAAUGAAUCUGAGAAAAUCUAUGUAUAGUUUAGCCUUAUUAGAAGAACUUAUUUAACUUAUUAAUCAGAAUAAAUUUCUUCAAACACAUUUCUCAUCAAACACAGAUUGUCCACAGCCAAUUUCACAUGAGGCAGUUGGGCUGUUUAGUGACAUUCUAGUGAAAUUCUCACGGCACAGGGAAUCAUCCGUUACCCCACACCAUGAAGCUGGCUCAUCAGCCAUCUAGAUCACCCUUCACUGACCCCACCUACACAUCUGAAUGGACACACACACACACACACACACACACACACACACGGAUCUCUCUGUGAAUGACAUCAACUGUGUAAUGAAGCCAUCCAUCCUAAGGCUGAUGGAACCACACAGUCCAGGGUGAGGGGACCACCUUGCCAAAGGUAUAUGUAAAGGGAGGAUACUGACCAUACUUUUAAUAUAUAAGACAUUUAAAACAAGCAGGAUGUUCCCACACAGAUUGACUAGAAACACUUUUCACCCUAAAGAAGAGACUCAAGUAUUCACAAUUUACAAGAAUUCUGUACAGUACAUGUUUUCAAAGUAUUACCUAGUAAAGCCACUGAAUUUUACAGAUAACUGUUGUAAUGUCCUUGUCAUUAAUUUUAAUAAUUUUGGUAUUCUGUCAUUUUCAUUAGUUCUACAAAGGAUUUGUCUAUUGACUUAGUCAGGGUUUCUAUUCCUGCACAAACAUCAUGACCAAGAAGCAAGUUGGGAGGAAAGGGUUUAUUCAGCUUACAUUUCCACAUUGCUGUUCCUGACCAAGGAAGUCAGGACUGGAACUCAAACAGGUCAGGAAGCAGGAGCUGAUACACAGGCCAUAGAGAGAUGUUAGUUACUGGCUUCCUUCCCCUGGCUUGCUCAGCCUGCUCUCUUAUAGAACCCAAGACUACCAGCCCAGAGAUGGUCCCACCCACAAGGGGCCUCUUCCCCUUGAUCACUAAUUGAGAAAAUGCCCCACAGCUGGACCUCAUGGAGGCAUUUCCCCAACUGAAGCUCGUUUCUGUGAUAACUCCAGCCUGUGUCAAGUUGACACACAAAACCAGCCAGUACAUCUAUCUUUUAUAGUAACCCACUCUGUUUCAUUAAUUACUUCUAAUUGUUCUUUUAGUCAGUUUCCAUUUCAUUAAUUUCUCCUUUAAUCAUUAUUAUUUCUUUCUGUCUACUAAUUUUGUGUUUGGCAUUUUCCCUGUGUUUCUAAGAAUUUGAACUAUAGUCACUAGACUAUAAGUUUUGUCUGAUUUUUUAAAAAUUAUUUAUUUAUUUUUGGUCACUAUUUUUAGAUAUUUUAAUUUAAUCUCUAUGAGUGCUCUAUUUGUAUGAACACCUGAAUGCCAGAAGAGGGAAGCAGAUCACAUUGUAGAUGAUUAUGAGCCCCCAUGGAGUUUCUGGGAAUUGAACUCAGGACCUCGGGAAAGAGCAGUCAGUGCUCUUAAGGGUUCCUCUCUCUGUCUGGAAGCCCCACCUUAUGAUUCUGCCUUUUGCUAUAGGCCAUAGGCCUUUUAUUUUAAGCAAUCAGAACAUGCCUUAUGCAGGUAAGGUGAAUGCUGAGAAGGCAGAUGUAAUUGUUAAAGAGAUGAAUGCCAUGAAAGAGAAAUCUGGUACCUUCCCUUGGAACAGCAGCCACAUGGUCUAAGAGUAAGGCCUCACCUAGCAGACCAGCCUUUUCUUUUAUUUCUUUUUUUAAGCUAGUGUCUUGUUUUGCUGAAACAAAAAUAAACUGUCUUGCUUUCAUUGUGUGUAGUUUGUUGAGUUAGUUAUUAUGGAGUAAGGGUCUUCAUUCUCACAGACCCUUGUAUAUACAUGUUUGUUGUUGCAUUAUUCAUAUUAGCACAGAAAUAGAAUUAGCAUAAAUGUCUACAAACAGAUUAAUGGAUAAUGGAAAUGUGAUACAUAUUUUGUAAUGGAAUUUUAUUUAGGCAUAAAGCAAAGUGAAGUGGUAAAAAAUGCAGAAAAAGUAAUGGAAUGGUAACAUAUUUUAUUAUAGAAGGUAACUUAUGAUCAGAAAUAUAAAUACUGCAUACCCUUUCACAUAUAUACUGUGGUGGUUUGAAUAUGCUUGGCCCAGGGAGUGGCACUAUUAGGAGUUGUGGCCUUGUUGGAAUAACUGUGGCUUUGUUGGAGGAAGAGUGUCUCUGUAGGAGUAGGCAAUGAGACACUCAUCCUAACCAUGUGGAAGCCAGUCUUUCCCUAACACCCUUCAGAUGGAGAUGUAGAACUCCCAAAUCCUUCACCAGUGCCAUACCUGCCUGGAUGCUGCCAUGUUUCCUGCCAUGAUGAUAAUGGACUGAAUCUCUGAACCUGUAAUCCAGCCCCAAUUAAAUGUUAGCCUUUAUAAGAGUUGCCUUGGUCAUCACAGCAGUAAAACCCAGGCUAAGACAUGUGGAUAAAUGCUUCUAAUUUUAUUUUAUUUGUGUUUAGGUAAGAAUAAGUGUAUGUAGAGUCCAGAGAAAUAUAAAGGGCCCCACAAGAAGGACAAUAAGAAACUUUAAUAAAGGUUCUGAAUAAGAUAAUAGAGCAUACAUGUUAUAAAAGUGGGAGAGGGAAUAUUGGGAAAUGGGGGUAGAAGUUGGGGACAGGCAGAAAAUUGAAAGAGAAGUGGGUCAGAGAGUGAGGAUCAACCCAAACUUGUUACAUAUGAAAAUCCUGUUAGGGAAUAAAGUGGAAAUUUCUGGUUUCUUUGGAGACUCAGUUAUGUCAUGUGAUGUUUGCUGAAAUAGACAAAGGCGAGAGGAUGUUUUGUUGAAGCAGAUAUGUGAGAAGAUGCAUGAUGUUUAGAAAGAAUAUAAAUAUGACCACAGAUAGUGGGGCAAGGCUAGUGCUUCGGUUCGCUUUGCACUACAUCACUGAUCUUCACUUGUUGUAACUUUAUAGAGAGUAACUCGCCAAAGAACUUCUGAUAUUCUGGCUGAUUCUUUCUGCUUCUGUGGACUCAUGCUGACAGAGCCUCACCAUUUCUUCUGAAUCCAUCAACCAAUACUGAUUCUGUUUGGUGUUUUCCAAUUAGACUGGACUGCUGCUACUGGUUUGUGUUUCAUGUUUUGGACUGGACUAUUGAUAUUCUGACAACAAAGAUUGGGAUCUCUCCAAAGAACUACUUCUAAACAGGUCCACAGCUCCUGUUUCCUAUUAACCUUUCCUUCACCCUACCUCUGGUAGGUGGGAUAGAAGGGAACCAUAUAAGAACCCUGAUUAAAAUAAGUUUUGAAAAAUCCAAGCCUACAAGGGUACCUGGUACUUUGUAUGCUAACUCAAAAUUAAAUUAAAAUUUCAAAGAUAAUAUGCCAUCCACUUUUGUGGCAAACUUUGUAUCAACUUUCCUCUUACGCGCGUUCGCGACCGGCCAGGAAAGACGCAACAAGCCAGAAUCUUCUGCGGCAAAGCUUUAUUGCUUACUCAGGAGCAAGAGAGGAAGAGCGUGGCAGAGAGAGGCAGAGAGGAAGAGAGAGAGAGACGCAGAGAGAGAGGCAGAGAGAGGGGCAGAGAGGGAGAGAGGCAGAGAGCAGAGGAAGAGAGCAGAGGAAAAGAUGAAGAGAAAGAGACGAAGAGAAGGAGUGCCAGAACCCCGUCCCUGUAUUCCCUUAGCAAUGUGAUUCCACUAGCUAGAUACAAUGAGGAGAUGUACUGAAGUUGGUAACUUGUAAGUCGAAUUUUCUUAAAUGUUAUUCCUUUUCAUUAAUUUGUUUAUUCAUUUUACAUCACAAUUGCAGCCUCUCCUUCUUCUCCUCCCAGUUCCACCCUCCUACCCCAUUUUCCCCAUCCCCCCACCAUGGGAACCAACCAGCCCUGACACAUCAACUGCAGCAGGACUAAGUACACUCUCUCCCACUGAGGCCCAGUUAGCCAGUCCAGCUAGGGUACAAGGAUCCAAAGGCAGGCACCAGAGUCUGAGUCACUGCUCCAGGUGCUAGGGACCCACAUGAAGACCAAACAGCACAUCUGCUCCAAAUGUGCAAAGGGCCUAGGUCCAGCCCCUGCAUGUCUUUGGUUGGUGUUUCAGUCUCUAUAAGCCUCAUGGGCCCAGGUUAGUUUUCUAUGUAGAUCUUCUUGUGUUAUCCUUGACCCCUGUGGCUCCCUCAAUCCUCCCCCCGACACUUUCACAAGACUCCCUGAACUCUGCCUGAUGUUUUGCCGUGGGUUUCCACAUCUGUCUCCAUCAGCAGCUGGAUGAAGCCUCUCAGUAAAUAUCAUUAAACACACAUGUUUGUGAGUAUCUUUGUUCUAUUACUACAUUGUUUUCAAAGUAGAAUUAUACAAUCAAGUGUGUAAAAAAUUAAACGGUUUUUCAGAGUCAUGUUAUUAAACAGUCCUUUAUUGUUGGACUAAUUUGUCCUCAGUAUAUAGGCCUACUAGGAAUGUAUGAAUGCUGUUUUCAGUAUAUACCUACUAAUGGUAAGGAUUGUCUUUUGACUGUUUUUGUUAAUUUAGUUAUCAAAAGAGUAUUUUCAUUUCAGACAGUAUGCUUAUCUACAUAUUUAAACAGUUCCUACCCAAGAAAACACUUUAAACUGCUACAUAAAGCAUGUAUAACCAUAUAUAAAUUCCUAUCUGAAAUGAAAACAUCCUUUUGAUAACUAACUAACUUAACAAAUACAGUUAGAGGACAACUCUCACUAUUAGUAGGUAUGAACUGGGAACAAUGUUCAUGUGUUCCUGGUAGGACUAUAUACUCGGUAUAAAUUAGUCCAACAAUAAAGGAGUUUAAUAAUAUGAGUCUGAAAAUUUGUUUGAAUUUUCACACACUUUAUAGUUCCACUUUGAAAAUUAUGUAAUAGUAAAGCAAAGAUACAAGUGUGUGUUUUAUGACAUUGGGGGUGGGGCAUCUCUGGAACAUGUCAUAUAUCUAGGACAAACCAGGAACCUGGGACAAGGGAGUCUCCUGGGAGGAUAUGGUUGUGACCCUAGCUUAGAAUUCUAGUAGCAGGGGAUAUGGAGCAUGAAGUGGCCACCUCGUGUAGCCAGGCAGGACUUCCAGUGGAGGGAGAGUGGCACCAAUCCAACCACAAAACCUUUGACCCAAAAAGUGUCCUGCCUACAAGAUGUGCAGGGAUAAAGAUGCAACAGAAAUUGAGGGAAUGGCCAACCAAUGACUGGUCCAACUUGAGACCCAUCCCAUAGGAGAAAGCCCACCCCCGACAGUAUUAAUGAUACUUUGCUAUGCUUACAUCAGGAACUUAGAAAAAUAUAAUUCUUAUUUUAAGUAAGAAUAUAACCAAAGAUCUAUCUUCUUACAAAUCAAAAGAAUAUAGAUUCUGAGGUCACUGCGUGGGUAAAAGUGAACACAGUUGGGUAAAAGCUCUUGCCAUGUCACCAUAAACAGCAGGAUCUCCUUCAUUUACACAGGCAAAUGACUUUUAAUUGGUUAUGUGUACCCCACUUUCUAUCCAUUUAUCUAUGAACAUUUAUACUACUUUCAUGUAUUAACGAUUGUAAAUAAUAGUGAAAAUGGGGAUGCAAAUAUUUCUUUCAGAAACCAUGGUGGGUUUUUGACUUCUGUCCGAGUAUCUGAUUGCUCGAUCAUAUGGUAAGUCUGUUUGAAACCUUUGAGGUGCCUGCCUCUGUGUUGUUUUCCACAGGGGUUACACCAGUUUCUGUUUCUGUUAAAAGUAACAAGGGUUUCCUUUUAUUCACCUCUGUCAUACUACAUUUGUCUUCCUUUGUUUUUUUGUUUGUUUGUUUGUUUGUUUUUUAGGUAAUUUGAUAUUGUAACUCAUGUAAGGUCAGAUCUCAGUGGGAUUUUACAUUUUUCUCCUAUGAUUAUUGAUGUUCAGUACUUUCUUCAUACUUAUUAGUCUUCUAAAUGUUUUCUUCAAAGAAAUUCCUUUAGGUGUUCUUUUGAAAAUUAGAUUAUUUGUCUUCUUUGUUCUGUGAUAUUUUCCUAUUAGAUUAUAGCAAUUGCUUUAUAUUACCAUUCUUCCAAAUAUAUAGUUGACACAAAUAUUCUGUAUAUAUCAUAUGUUACAUUUUUACUUUGUUGAUUGUUUUUUGAUGUACAUACCUAAUACACAGUAAAAUUUUAUUUAAAAUUUAUUCUUUUUCCAGUGUGUAUCAUAGCUGCUUAUAUUUUAACAUUUUGAAGCCACUUUAACCCUUUGUAUGUCUUACUUUAAACAGCCA